AUUGAACGCUGGCGGCAUGCCUUACACAUGCAAGUCGAACGGCAUCGCGGGAAAGCUUGCUUUCCUGGCGGCGAGUGGCGAACGGGUGAGUAACACAUCGGAACGUACCGGCUAGUGGGGGAUAACCCGUCGAAAGACGGGCUAAUACCGCAUACGCUCUUCGGAGGAAAGCAGGGGACCUUUGGGCCUUGCGCUAGCCGAACGGCCGAUGUCCGAUUAGCUAGUUGGUGGGGUAAAGGCCUACCAAGGCGACGAUCGGUAGCGGGUCUGAGAGGACGAUCGGCCACACUGGGACUGAGACACGGCCCAGACUCCUACGGGAGGCAGCAGUGGGGAAUCUUGGACAAUGGGGGCAACCCUGAUCCAGCAAUGCCGCGUGGGUGAAGAAGGCCUUCGGGUUGUAAAGCCCUUUCGGCAGGGAAGAAAUCGGCGGGGCGAAUAACCCUGCUGGAUGACGGUACCUGCAGAAGAAGCACCGGCUAACUACGUG
rnacentral:rRNA from 1 species